rnacentral:rRNA from 1 species
GACAGAGGGUGCAAACGUUGUUCGGAAUUACUGGGCGUAAAGCGCGUGUAGGCUGUUUUGCAAGUCGGAUGUGAAAGCCCUGGGCUCAACCUAGGAAAUGCACUCGAAACUGCAGAACUGGAGUCCUGGAGAGGAAGGCGGAAUUCUCGGUGUAGAGGUGAAAUUCGUAGAUAUCGAGAGGAACACCGGUGGCGAAGGCGGCCUUCUGGACAGUGACUGACGCUGAGACGCGAAAGCGUGGGGAGCAAACAGGG